rnacentral:lncRNA from 1 species
UAUUAUUAUUAAUUUAUUAUAUCCUUGCACUCUGUAUUCAAAGGUGAGAUAUUUGGAGGAGACGAUGCAAAUAUGUCUCUUGUUCUCAACCAUUGUGGAGGAGUUUGCAACUCAAAAGUACAUCUCAAGACCAUGCUGCUGAAAUGUGAUUACUGAAGGUGUAUAAAUGAGCUGCUUCUCAGGCCUUUUGGUCCAGAGAAUAGAGCAAUGGAAAGUCAAAAAGGCUUUCGAAGAGAAGAAAGGGGUGGACGGUUUGUGUGUUCUGGCAUGGAAGGAGACUCUUCAGCUUGUCUAAAAGAAGCAUCUCCAUUUGGAAGAUGAUUACAUGUCAGGUAUUCUCCAGGAAGGAGAGAAACGUAUCGCGUUAAAACAAAGAUCUUUAUUGGAGCAGCCAUGACUUGAAACAGCACUUGCCUUUUUCAUGAAGGUCUCUUAAAAAAAGAGAGGAAUAUUGGCUUUUGGGGGGAUUCAGGAGGUUUGUGUUCACUUUUCUUCUUCACAGUUCCUCUCUGGGUGACUUUGACUCUUCUGCG